rnacentral:rRNA from 1 species
AUUGAACGCUGGCGGCAGGCCUAACACAUGCAAGUCGAACGAGUGGCGGACGGGUGAGUAAUGUCUGGGAAACUGCCCGAUGGAGGGGGGUAACUACUGGAAACGGUAGCUAAUACCGCAUACCAUCGGAUGUGCCCAGAUGGGCUUAGCUUGUAGGUGAGGUAACGGCUCACCUAGGCGACGCUCCCUAGCUGGUCGGAGAGGAUGACCAGCAAAACUGGAACGUGGACACGGGUCGGACUCUUCCGGGAGGCAGCAGUGGGGUAUUGUGCAAAAUGGGCGCAAGCCUGAUGCAGCCAUGCCGCGUGUAUGAAGAAGGCCUUCGGGUUGUAAAGUACUUUCAGCGGGGAGGCGGUACCCGCAGAAGAAGCACCGGCUAACUCCGUGCCAGCAGCCGCGGUAAUAC